rnacentral:rRNA from 1 species
AGAGUUUGAUCCUGGCUCAGAACGAACGCUGGCGGCGUGCUUAACACAUGCAAGUCGCGUGCGCAGUCUGUAGCAAUACAGAUGGGCGCACGGCGCACGGGUGCGUAACACGUGGGCAAUCUGCCCUCCGAUGGGGAAUAACCCCGCGAAAGCGGGGCUAAUACCGCAUAACAUUCCUUGAGCGAUGGUUCGAGGAUUCAAAGCAGCAAUGCGUCGGAGGAGGAGCCCGCGCCCGAUUAGCUAGUUGGUGAGGUAACGGCUCACCAAGGCAAUGAUCGGUAGCUGGUCUGAGAGGAUGAUCAGCCACACUGGAACUGAGACACGGUCCAGACUCCUACGGGAGGCAGCAGUGGGGAAUCUUGCACAAUGGGCGAAAGCCUGAUGCAGCGACGCCGCGUGGGGGAUGAAGCUUUUCGGAGUGUAAACCCCUUUCGCCUGGGACGAAUGCCCGCAAGGGAGUGACGGUACCAGGAUAAGAAGCCCCGGCUAACUACGUGCCAGCAGCCGCGGUAAGACGUAGGGGGCCAGCGUUGUUCGGAAUUACUGGGUGUAAAGGGUUCGUAGGCGGUCCGGCAAGUCGGGAGUGAAAUCUCUGGGCUCAACCCAGAGGCUGCUUCCGAAACUGCUGUGCUUGAGUGUGAGAGAGGCUCGUGGAAUUGCAGGUGUAGCGGUGAAAUGCGUAGAUAUCUGCAGGAACACCCGUGGCGAAAGCGGCGAGCUGGAUCACUACUGACGCUGAGGAACGAAAGCUAGGGGAGCAAACAGGAUUAGAUACCCUGGUAGUCCUAGCCCUAAACGAUCAGGACUUGGGGUGCCGCCCGUUCGGGCGUCGUCCCGGAGCUAACGCGUUAAGUCCUGCACCUGGGGAGUACGGUCGCAAGACUGAAACUCAAAGGAAUUGACGGGGGCCCGCACAAGCGGUGGAACAUGUGGUUCAAUUCGACGCUACGCGAGGAACCUUACCUGGGCUCGAAAUGCUU